rnacentral:lncRNA from 1 species
AAUUCGUCCAAAUCUUGUCUUAGUUGCUGUUUGAGUCAAUUAAACUUGUUUUAGUCAGUUUGGGCAGAUUUGAGUGUUUCAAAUCUGUUUUGAAUCUUAGUAGUCUAAUUAGAGUCUUUAAGUUUAGUUUUUGUGUUUCUAAGUCAAUUUGUAUUAGAUUAGCACCCCUAGUUAAUCCCCGGUUAGAACGAUCCCUACUUACAUCAUUACUAC